AAGAGGACUUCCUACGGAAAAAAUAAUUUCUUUUUCCUUUAUCGACAGAAAGUCCUCUAUAUAUAUAUUUGACAAAAUGUUAAGGUUCAUGAAGCAGCAAGAGAUAAUAUAUGAGUUUUGCUAGGGAGCAGCCACUGUAGCAUAGCAUGCAUUGCACACCCUACAUGGCUAACUGGCUUCUAGCGUUUCGAAUACCCUUCGACCCAUUUUGAUUUGAAUCCAUCCCGCGUCCCCCUCCUUCUUGUCACCCAGCGCUGUAGCACCAUCAAGCAUAGCCGUCCCUCUCGUCACCCAGCACCCGCGACUUGUUAGCCUGCCUCUACCCAUUGCCACCCAGCCUGUUUUCCCCACAAACCAUUUCAAACAAGAGGUUUGCGUUCACGGGAACCCCUCAUCGCCCAACACCCGCGCGCCUCCAUCCACCAGCGCCACCCCGCGAUGCUGCCAACGCCCUCCGCAAUGCCAUCUUUGUUGGUACCCUUUUGUGCUAGGGAAAGUCAAGCACCUCACUUUGGCAUUUAAUGAUCAGAACUUCCUCACCAAACAGCAUCGAGAGUAUUUUUUUGAGUAGAAUUUGUUGAAUUUAAUGAGCACCAAACAAUCAUAUACAUUGUUCCUAUCUGAAGUAGAAUCUCUUUUCUGCUUGUGCAAAAAGGGUCCAACAAAAACUUGUUUGUCAUUCAAUAGCGUGCCAUUCACCUUUUCAAUAGCAUUUUUAGCAUAAUCUUCAUUAUCAAAUUGUACAUAACCAUAUCCUUUUGCAUACAAGUUUUCAGACAUUUGAGUUGCUGGAGAUGACAUUGGCGAAGCAAUUAGAAAUGGCUCAACACUCUAUGGUGUUUUCAGGCCUUAUUCCUACUUGUUUAAAAAAAAAAAAAAGUUUUUAACAGUUAGAUUUGAAUUGAGGGUACAGAGUGAAAGAUACAUGUAGUUUUGGGUCCAAAAUUGAAACUCAUGUAAUAAGGUGUAAAAUGAAAAGGAGCGGUAGUUUGUGGUGGGUAAAAGGCAUAUUUUUCCCAAGAAUAUAUAUAUAUAUAGAGAGAGAGAAAUCCUGGGGAGCGGUCAGGCUAUUUUCCUUCGUUAAGCAGCCUUUUAAUGAUUGUGUACCACGUAAGUAGUUCAUAAUAUUUAGUCUGCACUUACAUACACCUGAUCAGAGACCCAUAUAGCCCCCACCCCCACUCCGUCGUCUUCCAUUUCAUCCCAACCCAAACCAAAUCCCACCCCACACUCAUCCCCGACGGCACUUGACCUAGACGGUGGCAAGGACGGAGUUCGACCCAGACGGUAACGGAGCUCAACCUAGACGGUGACGGUAUGCAGAUGUGGGCUCUGAGGGUGAGGACGGUUGUCUGGCAGAGAAGGUCCUCAACGGUCUCCACGAACAGAUUUAGGCUUCGGAUCGAUGGCACGUAUGAUCAAAGGCACUUCCGAGAAGGCCACCUUGAAGAAUAAUUGCAGCAUUGCGAAACAACUCCAAAACGUGAAAAUAAUUCGAUGAUGAUGCCGAUGUUGUCGAUGAUGAUGUGUGUUUUGUCUUUGGUAUAAAAUGGGGUUAUAUGAUGUAUGUAGGUGGUUUUGUUAUGAGAUGUGGGUUUCUGACUUUUGAAUGAUUGGUGGGUGUUUGUGUUUGGAUUUGGAACGUGAACGUCAAGUAAAAUAAGAGAAAUUAAUUGAAUGAGGAAUAGAAAAUUAAUAAGAUUGGAGGGACUUAAAACUUGUGGCAAGUGAUGGGAUGGGGGGCUCAGUUGUGUGGAAGAUUUGGAAAUCAAGUAAAGACACUCAGACGGGAGGUAGGAGAUGAAGACGAAAUGGUGAUCUUGUGCGGUACAAUGUAACAAGUCUAUUGUAUUUUUUCUUAUGUGUCACUGUCUCAAUGGUGGGCUGCUUUUCUAUCUAUAACAGCCCGACCGUCCUGCAGCGCUUCUGAUAUAUAUAUAUAUAUAUAUAUAAACCAUUUGCUAUUUUCAGAUUUGUAUGCAAAAUAUAAUGUGUGUAGUUGAAUGAAUGGAUUUUUUUUUUUCAAUAGCAUGGCCAUACUUCAUACUUGCCUCUAGGGAACAUUUUCUGUAUUUUUGUUCAAGGAAAAACUUUGAUUGGGGCCCUAUCUACACUUGUGUCUGAUGAUUAGUUUGUGAUUAGUCUAAGGCCACAUUUGGAUGUGGCUCCCAUGAUAAUGAAUUUGUGCUUUUCAUCCACUUAGGAGAGAGUCAUCUAAUCUUUAGACCAGAACAUUUGAUUUGCUUUUAGUGAUUAAAAUGUAUCUUCUAGCAUAUCUAGAUUUUCAACAGCUAGUGAAAAUAUGUUCAGUUAGCAUGUCUUAUGCUCAGUUAUCAUUUUAUUUUUCCUUCAUUGGUACAUGUAUAAAUAAUCACAUUUUAUUUGACUUUUUCAAGCUGUUAGUUAUUGUUAAGUUUAGUUAUUUGAUUUUUGCAUUGUUGGUACAGGUAUAAACUAGAUAUGGGUAUGCAUUAUGCGUAUACGUGUUUAUGAAAUCAGAUAUGGGCAUGCAGAGGAUUGAUGCUUUCAGUAUACACGAUGGAAGAUUGGGCGUGCAUUGUGUAUGCAAUUAGUUGGUCUAUUGUUGCUUGUCUAUGAGCGUGACAAGUGUUUUUUUUUAAUGUAAUUUUGUGCAAUGGGCUUGUAAAGGGGAUAUGCCAGAUAUGAGAAUGGCAGUGUAAUAUUUUCUUGAAGUGUAAUAUUUUCAAGAAGUGUAAUAUGAUAUGUAAAGGGGAUAAUAUUUUCUUAAAGUGUAAUAUUCCUGGAAGUGUAAUAUUUUCUUGUCUGUAAAGGGAAUAAACCACUAUGUAAAGUGCAAUAUAAUAUUUUCUUAAUGGUGGUUUGUUUUUGUACAGCUUUGAACAGCCAA